CUUAAAAAUUCAAAUUGUGUAAAAUGGGAGAUAUUCGGAAAAGCCUGUCUUUGAAUUAAAAUCACAGCAACACUGCCUAGCGACAGUUUCGUUGCUCUGUCAUCGGUAGAAAAAAUCCAGGCGUCGUGUGUAAAAAUUUUCUUUGUAUAAGAUAAUUCAAAUUGGAUAAAAACAACUAAAUUGGUGUUACACCAUAGUGAAAAAUUAUUCAAUAGGCAACAAAUUACACCUGUUGAAAAGUGUUGAGGGAUUAAACAUUUUCGUUACUACUCCAAUUAGUCAUUGGAUACACGAAAAAACUACCACACUGCAACAAAAUGGCCCAUUCGUUGCAUACAGAACGCAGCAUUCAUGAGAUGCUAAAAGACACACCGCCGAUGAACGAAAGUGGUAGUGCAAUACAUAGUGGAACUGAAGGACGGCCGUUUAUGCCCCCAAAUAGUCUACCACUGCAUAAUCAUUCAGCACCCGCUACACCGAUGACACAAACCAGCCCACAGAACGGCAUGGACGCCGGUCUUUUACGUACAGGGGCUUCAAAAAUCGACAGUAUAAAGAAUUGGAGCAUAUCAACUUACAAAUGUACUCGACAGAUUAUGUUAGAAAAAUUAGGUAAAUCGCAACGUACUGUUGACUCAGAGUUGGAAGCGCAGAUUGAACAAUUGCGAGAAACACAGCGGAAAUAUUUAUCUAUUUUACGUCUGACGCGAGCUUUCAGUUCACAUUUUCAUCAUGUAGUAGUAACUCAACAUGCAUUGGCCGAGGCAUUUGCUGAUCUAGCACAGAAAAGCCCAGAACUACAAGAGGAAUUUACAUGUAAUUCCGAAACGCAACGAAAUCUGACAAAGAACGGCGAGUUGCUGCUGAGUGCUCUGAAUUUUUUCAUUUCAUCAGUGAAUACAUUGUGCAAUAAAACUAUCGAUGAUACGUUACUCACAAUCAAGCAAUAUGAAAUAGCCAGAGUGGAGUUUGAUGCGUAUCGUAUGGAUUUAGAAAAUACAAAACCUGAAUUGCCACAGAGUCCUGUUGCCGAAGAGGCGCAGAAAAACUUUUCUCAUCAUAAGGAACUUUAUGAAAAAUUACGUGCCGAUGUCGCCGUGAAAAUGCAAUUUCUAGACGAAAAUAGAAUUAAAGUGAUGCAUAAACAGCUAGUAUUACUUCAUAAUGCAAUAGCUGCUUAUUUUUCGGGAAAUGCUGUUGCUCUAGAGAAUACAAUGAAACAAUUUAACAUAAAAUUGAAGGCGCCCAAUGCCACGACUGGAUCCUGGUUAGAGCAGUAGUAUUGCUAAAUGCCCGUCCAUGUAAACAACCAACAGUUUUAAGCACCUUACAUUAGAAAAUGUCUCAUACAUAAAAAUCAAGAAUAAGUCUUUCUUCGAUGACCUAAAUAUUGGAAAAGAGCACAGAUUUUCGGAGAACAUCAUAGUAAACUUUUUCGCUUAAAUGGAUGUUAAAGUAAAGAGUUUCAAUGUGUAUUCUUCAAUGCUUUUAGGUGUUUUUCAAUAAUUCGGAAGAAAAAAGUAAAACUAAGCUUUCAAUAGCGAAAAGAAAUGUAAGCGAAAAAGUUGCAUUACAUAUUAUACGUAGUAUUAUAAGAAAAUCCAAUACAAUAGUUCCUGGUUUUCCCCUGAACUAUUUGAAUAGAAAUGUUAGAUUCACACCAUAAAAUACUUGUUUUCAGAACAAUAUAAAAUUUUAAGAUGAUUUACAAUUUAAGAAAUAUAACGUUUUCAUAAACUUGUACAAUCAGUUGGUUAGACAGCAUUUCUCCCACAAAGCCGUAAACUAUGAAUAUUAAUUUAAUAAAAUCUUUUAGCACUAUCAUUUAUUUUCUAUCAUAAUAAAUUAUUUCAUCUUUUGUUAUUAAAAUUAUUUAACUGUUGAUAUGUGUACAUUAUAUUAGAAAUUAUUUAUUUUGCUUGAAUCUUUUAAUAUAAAAUUAGGCAGAGAUGAGGGCCUAUAUUCCAUAUACAUACACAUAUGUAAGUGCAGUAUUGAUCGAAUAUUAAUAUUUUUUAACUCCAAUAAUGUUUAAAUUUUAGAAAUAAGCUGAAUAAAAAUUUACUACUGCGAACAAAUAUUGAAAAUAUGUAUGUGUAAGAUAAGCCAGAAGGCGUAAUUGUUUACUCUAGUCAACAUAUAUUUAAAAUAUAUAUAAAUAUAUUACAGAAA
rnacentral:misc_RNA from 1 species